UGGCCACUUUGGACUUUUGAUGCCUUUAAGU
rnacentral:piRNA from 1 species